rnacentral:lncRNA from 1 species
AAUUUUCUUUUAAUAAAUUAGCACAUCUGUUCUUUAAAUGCGUGGUUGAACCGUGUGAAAGGUAACCGAGGCAGAAGUUAUACCUUGUGAAUCAGCACAAAUAAAUUUCUACGAAAACCCCUAUAACCCAUAUACGUGUGAUCUUGAAAUCUUAACCAAACCCUGAUCGACGAUUGGAGGAUCACUCAUUAGGAAAAAGGAGAAAUGGGUUGCUUUGGUUGCUUCGAUGGUGGAAGCAAGCGUCAGAGAAAAGAAGAAGACCGUUUGGCCUCUGAAGAAGCUCGUGCUAAGGCCGCCGAAGCUGCCCAGAAAAGGUAAUUUUCGUUCCUCUUUCUAUUCUUAUUUGUGUGCUUUUUUUACGGUUGUCUUAUGAUUUUUGGUAAUUUUAUGACGUCGUUCGUUUGAAAUUAAUAUGAUUUUCUGGGAUUUUUGUCUUGGAAGCAUAGUUGACAUUUAAGAGAGAAAGGUGUUGUCAUAGAUGAAAAUUGAUUAUCAAAAUCAAGAACAUUUUCGUCAUAUAAAUCCAUAAAAGGGAAAUUGUUUGUAAGUUUUAGCCAGAUAUUUCCCGGCAUGUAAUUUUGUAAGUUUCGACCAUUUGUUUGAGCAAAAUUGUUUGUCUUGAAAAAUUUCUUCUCUUUCGUGUAAGAAUUGAACCAAUUUGUGAAAUGAAUGCAUAAUUUUAAAAGGCUGUGUAGGCAUGCAUGUCUAAGUGAAUUAAUUUUGUCUGAAAUAUUCUCAAGAUAUUAGGAAUGAGAGAAGAAAUAGCUUUAGGGAGAAUUAGCAUAUGGAAUUGGAAUGUUGUAACUUUGUGUGUGGGAGUAUCUUAUUUAUCCUUUAUUGGUUUGCAAUGUUGAAAAUAUAUCAGUAGAUCACACUUCAAUAUUCUGAAUGAUCUACAUCCGAAUAUCACUUGCAGUGACAUCUUCAUAAUCUUUUUAUUGAACUUUUUCCUUCGAUGUAAUGUCAAUUUUCACUUCCUUUUCUAUGUCUAAGAUUAAGAAUAUCUUGUGGCCUCUUGUUCUCAUUAUCAUGUUCCUGAUAAUGAAGAGACUCUUACUUUGAACGAUUCAUCAUUCUUCAAAUUCAUGGUAGAAUUUAGCAAACUCUUCUUCGCACCUUUUAAGUAGUCAUGGUGUUGUGUAAAUUUUCUGUCUUAAAGG